rnacentral:rRNA from 1 species
AUAUCAAUAAGCGGAGGAAAAGAAACUAACAAGGAUUCCCCCAGUAACGGCGAGUGAAGAGGGAAAAGCUCAAUGUUAAAACCUGGUGGUAACACACCCGGAUUGUAAACUAUGGAUCAUAAUUUCAGUGAAGCGGUGCGCGGGUAAAGUGCUUUGGAAAGAGCCAUCACAGAGGGUGAAAAUCCCGUCUACCCGCAGCUGUUUUACAUUUUGAAAAUUGCGUUCCGAGAGUCAGGUUGUUUGGGAAUGCAGCCUAAAUCGGGUGGUAGAUCACAUCCAAAGCUAAAUAUUGGCGAGAGACCGAUAGCGAACAAGUACCGUGAGGGAAAGAUGAAAAGCACUUUGAAAAGAGAGUUAAACAGUAU